CCCACCACAGUGAAAUAGCCUACCACCAACANNCAUAGAGCAGGCAUCAGGUAACACCNCCCACGACGCCAAGCAAUCNNNAGCCACACCCCCACGGGCAUGCAGCAGUACUUAAUAUUGGGCCAUAAGCGAAANNNNNGCUUGACCCAAUAAUNGGGUGNACAUANGGGCCGGUUAAUCUCNGUGCCAGCGACCGCGGUUACACGACAGACCCUAGACAAUGUCACCGGCGUAAAGCACGACUANAAAACCAGUCANCCAAAUNNUAGGGCUGAGAAUNAAGCCAGGCUGUAGAAAGCCAUAAGCCCCNCACAAACCACNCACCCCUAACAAUAAANCUAUUUCAACUCGUGAAAGCAAGGACACAAACUAAGAUUAGAUACCUUACUAUGCCCUGCCAUAACACAGCAAUCAAAUAACCAAUUGCUCGCCAAAUAACUACGAGUAAAAACUUAAAAUUUAAAAGACUUGACGGUACUUCACAACAACCUAGAGGAGCCUGUCCAAUAACCGAUAAUCCCCGAUUAACCCCACCCGUUUUUGCCCUANCAGUCUAUAUACCGCCGUCGCCAGCUUGCCCUGUGAAAGAGACAAANGCAAGCCAAACAGUAUUUAUACUAACACGACAGGUCGAGGUGUAACAAAUAAACGGGUCAAAGAUGGGCUACAUUUUCUCAACCAGAAAAUACGAAUUAANGCAUGAAACAACAACCUGAAGGCGGAUUUAGCAGUAAGACAAAAAUANGAACAUUUAUCUGAAACUAACGCAAUGAAGUGCGUACACACCGCCCGUCAUCCCUGUNAGGANCAUCACUAUAAUCCAUAAUACAAAUACCACCACCAAANCAGGGCAAGUCGUAACAC
rnacentral:rRNA from 2 species